rnacentral:rRNA from 1 species
AUUGAACGCUGGCGGCAGGCCUAACACAUGCAAGUCGAGCGGAUGAAGGGAGCUUGCUCCUGGAUUCAGCGGCGGACGGGUGAGUAAUUCCUAGGAAUCUGCCUGGUAGUGGGGGAUAACGUCCGGAAACGGGCGCUAAUACCGCAUACGUCCUGAGGGAGAAAGUGGGGGAUCUUCGGACCUCACGCUAUCAGAUGAGCCUAGGUCGGAUUAGCUAGUUGGUGGGGUAAAGGCCUACCAAGGCGACGAUCCGUAACUGGUCUGAAAGGAUGAUCAGUCACACUGGAAUUGGACAACGGUCCAGCCUCCUACGGGGGGAAGAAGUGGGGAAUUUUGGAAAAUGGGGGAAGGCCUGAUCCAGACCUGCGGCGUGGGUGAAGAAGGUCUUCGGAUUGUAAAGCCCUUUAAGUUGGGAGGAAGGGCAGUAAGUUAAUAACUUGCUGUUUUGACGUUACCAACAGAAUAAGCACCGGCUAACUUCGUG